rnacentral:siRNA from 1 species
AGGCCACGUCUUUCACUGCGAUGG